GGGGUAGCCUUAAUCUACAAUUAAACACCUCUUCCUCCAUUCUUACAGGAAUAUAUGACCAUUCAAUUACAGGUGGUCAGAUAGGGAUGUAACCAAGUAAUUAUAAAGUAUGCCUACAAGGAAAAAAUAUCUAGCAAAUUCUGUGUGGGUUACUGCUUAUCCCUGCAGACCCUUCCACUUCCUUUACCAGAAACUCUUUCACAGUGAGUUUAUGACUGACUUUCUUUUUCCUAAUCACAAGGGAAAGGGUUGCAGUGUGGAUAGUUCCAGAAAAACAUCUCUUUGAUUCCUUGUUAAUUUUUGCACACUGCAGUUUGAGGUGGAUAGCCACUGGGCUGAGCAGGAUCGCCAGCGGGGGAAGUGCUCCUGGAAUGUGUUGAAUGUGCAUUCUUGAGAUGCUUUGAGUGACUGCCCCCUUACUGGCUUCUACCCAUUUUCACUGGUUUGGCAGCUUCCAAAGGCAACAGGUAUUACUUUUAAAUACUCAGUUGUUUCCCUGGCCCUUAAUCACCGACAGCUGACUGCUCUUUGGUUUCUGAAAGAAGGCUUUUAUGGCCCAGCUAUUUUAUCCCCAUUUAGCUUACGUCUCUUUAAUGUUUGUUUAUUCUAUCUUUAAAUUAAAGAAUGAAGUCGACAGAGUCGUCUUAUCUUGAUCGAAGACUUUCAAGCAGGAGCAAGAUACCACCACACUUAGCACUGGAAAUACACAGAUUAAUAAGGAAAGGCCCCUUUCCUCAAGGAACUUCUCUCAAGGAACUGGCACAAAGCACUGCGCAGAAGCUGCACCAAUCCUCACCGUCCCUGGCAGCAGAAUGGUAGAAGGUGGGAGAGACCAGGAAUCCUUCCAGGCUGUGCUGACUUUAGAAAUGAGGAUUGCACACGUUUGUCUCCUGAACCAAAAGGAGAUAAGCAGCAGAAUUUAUCAGGCGUGAAAGGGACAGCCUCCUGGUGGCCUGCCAAAAACCCAGAAUAAAGGCGAAGUUGUGCUUCAAAGCUCAGUCGCUUGCUGAGUCUGGCUAAAGUCAAGUAUUAAGAUCCACC